rnacentral:rRNA from 1 species
GCGAACGGGGAGGAGCCCAGAGCCUGAAUCAGUGUGUGUGUUAGUGGAAGCGUCUGGAAAGGCGCGCGAUACAGGGUGACAGCCCCGUACACAAAAAUGCACAUGCUGUGAGCUCGAUGAGUAGGGCGGGACACGUGGUAUCCUGUCUGAAUAUGGGGGGACCAUCCUCCAAGGCUAAAUACUCCUGACUGACCGAUAGUGAACCAGUACCGUGAGGGAAAGGCGAAAAGAACCCCGGCGAGGGGAGUGAAAAAGAACCUGAAACCGUGUACGUACAAGCAGUGGGAGCCUCUUUAUGGGGUGACUGCGUACCUUUUGUAUAAUGGGUCAGCGACUUAUAUUCUGUAGCAAGGUUAACCGAAUAGGGGAGCCGAAGGGAAACCGAGUCUUAACUGGGCGUUAAGUUGCAGGGUAUAGACCCGAAACCCGGUGAUCUAGCCAUGGGCAGGUUGAAGGUUGGGUAACACUAACUGGAGGACCGAACCGACUAAUGUUGAAAAAUUAGCGGAUGACUUGUGGCUGGGGGUGAAAGGCCAAUCAAACCGGGAGAUAGCUGGUUCUCCCCGAAAGCUAUUUAGGUAGCGCCUCGUGAAUUCAUCUCCGGGGGUAGAGCACUGUUUCGGCAAGGGGGUCAUCCCGACUUACCAACCCGAUGCAAACUGCGAAUACCGGAGAAUGUUAUCACGGGAGACACACGGCGGGUGCUAACGUCCGUCGUGAAGAGGGAAACAACCCAGACCGCCAGCUAAGGUCCCAAAGUCAUGGUUAAGUGGGAAACGAUGUGGGAAGGCCCAGACAGCCAGGAUGUUGGCUUAGAAGCAGCCAUCAUUUAAAGAAAGCGUAAUAGCUCACUGGUCGAGUCGGCCUGCGCGGAAGAUGUAACGGGGCUAAACCAUG